AUAAAAAAGUAAAAAUAGACAAACGGGACGUACAAAAGUAAAGAGAGAACAAAAUAGCAGCCAAUCUAUAAUUUCCUCAAAAAUCAAAAUGGUAUAAAAAAUCGGAUCGGAACCGGCGCGAAACCUAAAUGGGACGGGACCGUUUCAGGUGCUGUCCGAGGUUCACGGGAGACCCCUGCGUGUAACUGUAAGCAAGAAGAAAGGGAAGUCAGUUUCGAAAGUGAAGAGGUGAAAACAGAAAUGGAAGUUGCAGAAGUAGAGCAACUACUCAGGAUUUUAGAUUCUUCUCUUUCUCACAUCAAAUGGCGCCUCAAAUCUCAUGCCAAGCAUCGUCUUCAAAUAGAUGUUCUAGCAUUGUGUACAGAGAUGAGGCCAGUGAUUAUGGUUGACUAUGGUGGAAAGAUGCCUGAAUUGCAGGAGCAUCUGUGUGCACUUCUUAGACUCUGUCAACAGGAGUCACCUAUCUUUGAGCAUUUGAAAGUGAUGAUUAUAGAAGAUAUGAUAUAUUUGAUACAUGUAAAAGGACUUGUGGAGUAUGUCAAGUCAAGCUUGAACUCUGAAGUAGAUCUAGUCUUUGUGAACCUAGAACAAGAUCCUCCAAAGAUGGUAACACAGGCGGAAAAUAGCUCACUAAAUGCAGCACUUGUAAGAGUCCAGAAGUUAUUCUCCUUGUAUUUGCCUGUCAAUGAGAAUGUCUCGCCGUGCCACUUGACAGAGACUGCUGCUAAUGCUUCAGAUAAUGUGGCAAAUGCUGCAGAUAGUGUGGCAAAUGCUGCAGAUAGUGUGGCUAGUGCUGAAUCCUCUAUCAAUAAGCCUAUAAUUUCUCAAUCCUCUGAAUUUAUUGAUUUCAGCAGUUGCAUGCAGGACAGUGAGGUCACUGUGCCAACUUUAAAUGGAUGGCUUCUUGGUUAUCCGGUAGUGUAUCUAUUCAGCAAGGAGCAUAUUGCAGAUGCCAUAUAUAAUCUUUCCACCAAGUAUCUUCGCAUCUUCCAAAUUUUAGUCUCCAGGAAUAUUUCACCCAAUAAAGCAUCGCGACCUGAAGAAUUGAUGAGGAUGAAAUUGUGAUAUAAGAGAAGUGGGUCUGAGACAUUGGCACUGGUGAAAUUGUGAUAUAAGAGAAGUGGAUCUGAGGUGCUAUAUAUUUGCAUCGGUUAUCCUGUUCUUUGCCCGACUUGAUGGGGCAGGAGAAGUCAGAAAUUCCAGUCACCCAUCUUAUUGCCAUCCUGGUCGUACCUCUUUAAAUUGGGAUCUAAUUUUAAUUUUUGAAUGAUUCAAGGACAUGGGGUUGCUACCUGAUCCUUUCUCGGUGCCAUAUGAACUGAGCAUGGGAGGAAGCAAGGAACCAUGGGCAGAGGCAUUUUUGGCUCAAAUGCAAUCAAGGUGG